UGGAAAGGAUUGGAGGCUCACCAACACCUUGAUUUUCACCUAGUGAGACCAAGUUCAGACUUUGGACCUCCAGA